GUGUAGGGAUGUGUGAGACCCCAGCACAGACACAGUCAGGGUGGUGGCAGAGGGUGUGGAACAAAGAUAGAGCUCUCAGAAAUGAAGGGAGCUGAUGGGUUUUCUCUGAAAACCAAGGCUGGGAGUUUCCCCCUCCAACCUGGCCAUCCUGAAACCCUUGCUGUUCCCCUAUUCCACAGCCUUGAACCGUGCAGUCUCUGUAGAGGCAGCAGAGAGGAAAGCGGCCUGCCCUCUUUUGGCUGCAGGAAGUACUAGGGUGGUUUAUCUAGCUCUCCUAUUCUGAGUCCAGAUUCCUGGCUCCUGCUUGCUCAACUGCAUUUCGGCUGUCACCCUCUGCUGCAGUUCCCGAAUGGCCCUGGUCUUCCUGGCAUAGGGUCUGGCUGAAGCAGCCAUGUAAAGCUCAGCCCCUCACCUGGCUCAAGGCAACACUGUGAGCGUUUCCACUCUGGAGAACGCGAGAACACUUGACUGGUGUCCUCAGUAGGUGCCUCACCCCGCUGUUCUUAUUUCCUCACAUCUUCCAGGUGGUCCUGGGGAGCCCUCUGCACACGGCCAUUUCCCGCACAGACGGCAUCCGGGGCAGAGACAGUGAACAUGGUUUUGAUGAUCCAGAGACAGUGAACACGGUUUUGAUGAUCCAGAGACAGUGAACACGGUUUUGAUGAUCCAGAGACAGUGAACACGGUUUUGAUGAUCCACUGCACAUAGGAAGAUGGAGGGGAGAGCAUGACGGGACAGGAUGAGCGCAGCAUGGCUAACACAUGGGAAACGGUAGCUGGCAGGCCCAGGGCUGUGGUGGCCUGGAUGUGAGAGGCCCCUGUAGGCUCAUGAGUUUCAACACUCCAUCUCCAGCUGGUGGUGCCAUUUGGGGAGAUUAUAGAACUUUUAGGAGGUGGAGAUUGGCUGGAGGAAGUGGAUCCCUGGGGGUGGGGGUGGGCCUUAAGCUCCUGUAACCCCACCCUACAUCCUGUUCACUUUCUGCUUCCUGGGUGUGAAUGCAAUGUGACCAGCAGCCUGUCAAGCCCAGUGUCAUGCUUUUCUUCCCAUCGUGGACUAGAAGCCCAAAGCAACCCUUCCCUCUGGAAGCCAUUUCUUGCUGGAUAUCUCAUCACAACAAGCUAAGACAAUGAUAGUUCAGAUCUCUGAAGAAAGGAGGGUCAGCGCCUUUUGACUUGAUCUGGAACAAAGAGUAAUUCUCUGGUCUUGUUCCAGGUUCACAUAAACUCUCUUACUUUGGUCAUUAAAACAUCUAUUGUUUGUUUGUAGUAGAAUCCACACAACAGAUAAAGCCCUAGCAAUCUGCCUUUGACUGGGAGAGAUCGCAUUUCUAAAUGAUGUGCCUGUAGUUUUUAAAACAAAUUUCUUUGUCUCUAGGGAGUAUGGGAUUACCAGUAGCUUUCUAUGUUUGAUAGAGUCUGGUAUUUUUUCAUCUGAAGCCAUGGGGGCUGUCUGGACAUUAUACUGUACAUCAUCGAUGUCUAGAACAUGAGCGUAUUGUGCGGUUGGAGCAGAGAUGCAAGCAGCGGCCAAGAGGCUUGAUUGUAUGCGCUGCAGGAUAAGGCCUGAGGAAAAUUCAAGGCACUCUAUAUUUGCAAAGUUUUGUGAAAUUGUGAAUCUCUUUCGUCACUAGGAAACUUGAGGCUGAUCAGGACAGAGCACCACUUCCUACCGCGGGUACAGGGAGCCUGCUGUUUUUACCAGUCUACUGGUAGCACCAUCUGGAUGCUGUCCAGCUCUGUUCGGAUGGCGUGUGACGAUGCGGCGAAUCCCAAUGGCACUCAGGGUGUUUGGUCACAGCAGAAGAAAAGUAGCAUUGGAGGGAUAACCAAAAGUCAGAAAUGAUGAUCUGGACCACAGGUCCCAGAUUGAUGUGAUUCAACAUUUUAUUCUCUUGGUAUGUGCAAUCCCAGGAUCUGGAAGACGGCUUAAGAUGAUAAAAUGCUUGCCAUGCAAGCAUGAUGACGCAGUGACUCACAGUUUUGCUCCACCUCUGUGUCAGACCCCUCUUGAUCUUUCUAGUAAAUCCUCAAAGUGAACAUUUAUAUGAUUAGAUGCACAAGGGAAUGGACCUACUGGGAGGUUAAGCAGCUGGUCUAGGGUCCCACAACUGACCAAUGACAGACUGGGACUCAGAAGCCAGGGGUGACUGAAGUUCUAGCCUCACUCCUCUCUUUCUGCACUCCCAGAAGAUCUGGGUCCUCUCUGCCUAUUCUGGGAGGGGAGGAGCUUGGAUACUCAACAAGACUUUUCUCAGGGCUUGUGUCUGGUAUAGCAAAGGGCGUCCCCCGACCCAAGUGGGACUGUGUAUCAUCUACCUCUAUGAUAUUCGACUCCACUAUGAAGGGUUGUUUCACGUCUUAGCAUAACGGAAAAUUCCAUCCCCCAUCCACAGAUGACCUUUUAUUAGCUGGAGAGAGCAGCUUACAUACCAGUGAUUCACUAUUAUUUGUUGUUGAGCAGGCUCGCCAACCACCUGCAUGUUCCUUUUCGCUAAGCUCCCUCCCUCACACUUCAAGACAGGGAGUUGCAGGGGAUAAAACAUAAGGCCCUUGUUAAUUGCAAAUUAAUAGUGCCAGGAAUAUAUACAGAUGGUACCUGAAACCGGUUGCCGCCGGCGUCAUCUCAUGAUUCUGUUUUCCCUUCCUGUACUACGACUGAGCAUCAAGUAAAGAAAGAGUAGGCCUUAGCGCCUGCUCCGUUCAGGAUUUCCGUAGGACGAAACCUGUGCUUUUGCUCUGCUUUCCUCUGCGAUUAUCUUAGGAGCUGCGAGGAGUUUGCUUUCACUUACUUAUUAAUUUUAAGCAGUUUCCUGUGUCGUGGCUUACAGGACUCAGGUGCAGCACUCUGCCCAGGUACGCUGUGUGUAUCUGAUGAGACUUUCUUAGUCAAGGUGUUGUUUGUUGUAUUGGUUGGUGCGCUCUGAAACAGUUCCCUGUGGGCUGGCGUUGUAGCAAGAGCAUGUGUUCACAUUUGUGCUUUAAUUGACACUUUGAUUACAUUCAUCAAAUGAAGUUGUUUUUCUUUUAAGACAGUUUAAUGAUUUUUUUUUUUAAAGAAAAAUUGUCAUGUCAACUGUUGUUGGAGGCUGCUCAUUCAUUCCUGGAUGCCCAGCCCAGAAAUAACCACACAGAAACUAUAUUAUUUGUGAUACUGUUUGGUCAAUAGCUUAAGCACAUUUUUUGGUAGCUCUUAAAUCCUAAACUAACCCAUCUCCAUUAAUCUGUGCAUCACCAUGUGACUAUGGCCUAUUGGGUCCAGCAUCUGUCUCUGGGGCUACAUGACUUCUCCCUGACUCUGCCUACUCUAUAUCUCUUUCAGCCUGGCUUUACUCUGUUAAGCUAUUGGCCCAAAGCGGCUUCUUUAUUAACCAAUGGCAAUAAGACAUAUUCACAGGAUGCACUACCUCCCACAUCAGUCAACUGCCGGAGUCAAUUAAUUUAAUGCAAAAUCCAGAAUUUUAAAGACAGAAUACCCACUGUGCCAAACUGGAUGAGCCAGAGAGAAAGCUAGUGCUCCGUCCAUCCAGCUGUGCGGAAGAGUACCCUGGGACUAAAACCUAGAAGGUUCCAUGCUGACUAUAUGCAUGGCUCCUUGAAAGACAUACCAUCUCCUGAGAUUUUAACCAAAACCAUGGACUUCUCAUCUUAGAAUAAGCAGCAUAGAAUAACUUGGUUAUCAUGACAGACCUCGGGUUUGAUUUUAAGUUUCGAAACUGGUUUUGUUACAUAUGCUGAUCUUUCUGCCCACAGGAGAUCGAGUGGUCUCCUGUUGCUGCAGCGUACACUCUGUCCUGGAUGAUGUUCACGGGGUCCUGGUGAGGCCCCAGGGAAAGACCUUGUUUUUGACUGUGAUUGAUCCUUCUAGAGGGAAGGCAGGUUGAUGGAAGAUUGUUGAGACCACUGUCAGUAGCCUGGAAAGCGGAAUCCUCGUAGGGGACUUCUAAAAUAGGACCUUGACCAGAGUUUGGAAGCAGGAAGGGGGGCCCAACUUAGGCACUGAUUUCCACCACCCUCCUAAGGGCGCAGCUCUACACUUGGGGCUCUAACACGUCUUUUGGUAGGCCACUCUCAACAUAACCCAGCUAAACUCAGGCAGGGAUGGAAACCCCCUUGUCUCUAAGGAAUAAUCACACCACGUGACUGUGGUUGACCUGCUGCCCCUUGAGCAGGUCAGGAUGUCUUUCCCCAUAGUUCUAUAAAGUUCAAACAGCCCCACAGGAGCCCUGUCUAUACUGACUCUGUUAACUGGGCCAACAGUGUGGUAAACCUCAUCACACACAAGUUCAGCUGCAUCGUGGGCAGGCAACUGUCUCUCAACUCUCAAACUGGAAAGGCGUUUCUCUUACUGCGAGGAGGAAAAAGUGUCAUGGUAGGGGAAUAAUCUUUGGGUGAAUUAACAGAUAAGGGUCUGCCAGCUGAUGAAAUGCCAAGCUCAGGUAGAUACCCAAUCUCUUCAUCACAGCCAAGAAAAUAAUAUAGAAAUGUCUUUUUACUUUCAAUGUGAUUUUCAGGUUGGAGAUUAGAAAUUAAAUUGAAACUGUACUUGUUUGUAAAUAGGAACUGCUCUAUGUGUGUGUAUAUAUAUUAUAUAUACACACAUAAAUAGACAUACAUAUAUAAUGCAGUAAAUGAUAUAUAUAUCAUAUAUACAUA